UAAAUAAAGGUUGUCCUUCUGAUGUA
rnacentral:piRNA from 1 species